rnacentral:rRNA from 1 species
UACGGAGGGUGCGAGCGUUGUCCGGAAUCAUUGGGCGUAAAGGGCGCGUAGGUGGCCUGCUAAGCGUGCGGUGAAAGUCGGGGGCUCAACCCCCGAUCGGCCGUGCGAACUGGGAGGCUUGAGCACUGUAGAGGCAGGCGGAAUUCCGGGUGUAGCGGUGGAAUGCGUAGAGAUCCGGAAGAACACCGGUGGCGAAGGCGGCCUGCUGGGCAGUUGCUGACACUGAGGCGCGACAGCG